AUGGCGGAUUUCCGCCAUCUAAACUGAAAAUUUUGGCGCGAAUUGAAAAGUUUUAGAUGGCGGAAAUCCGCCAUCUAAAAUAUGGCGCGGGAAUAAUUUGGCGCCAAUUCAUUGAUGGCGGUUAAUUUCAUUGACGGCGGAUGUCCGCCGACUAUCCCUGGACCUUUAGAUGGCGGAUUUCCGCCAUCUAAAGUACAGCCGGCGGUUCCCUUAGUUU
rnacentral:lncRNA from 1 species